rnacentral:tRNA from 8 species
GGGUAUCGCCAAGCGGUAAGGCACCGGUUUUUGAUACCGGCAUUCCCUGGUUCGAAUCCAGGUACCCCAGCCA